UACAGGGGGGGCAAGCGUUGUUCGGAAUUACUGGGCGUAAAGGGCUCGUAGGCGGCCAACUAAGUCACACGUGAAAUCCCCAGGCUCAACCUGGGAACUGCGUGUGAUACUGAAAGGCUUGAAUCCGGGAGAGGGAUGUGGAAUUCCAGGUGUAGCGGUGAAAUGCGUAGAUAUCAGGAGGAACACCGGUGGCGAAGGCGGUUCUCUGGGCAUUACCUGACGCUGAGGAGCGAAAGUGUGGGGAGCGAACAGG
rnacentral:rRNA from 1 species